GACGAACGCUGGCGGCGUGCUUAACACAUGCAAGUCGAACGGAAAGGCCCUGCUUUUGUGGGGUGCUCGAGUGGCGAACGGGUGAGUAACACGUGAGUAACCUGCCCUUGACUUUGGGAUAACUUCAGGAAACUGGGGCUAAUACCGGAUAGGAGCUCCUGCUGCAUGGUGGGGGUUGGAAAGUUUCGGCGGUUGGGGCUGGUCUCGCGGCUUAUCAGCUUGUUGGUGGGGUAGUGGCUUACCAAGGCUUUGACGGGUAGCCGGCCUGAGAGGGUGACCGGCCACAUUGGGACUGAGAUACGGCCCAGACUCCUACGGGAGGCAGCAGUGGGGAAUAUUGCACAAUGGGCGGAAGCCUGAUGCAGCAACGCCGCGUGCGGGAUGACGGCCUUCGGGUUGUAAACCGCUUUCGCCUGUGACGAAGCGUGAGUGACGGUAAUGGGUAAAGAAGCACCGGCUAACUACGUG
rnacentral:rRNA from 1 species